CAGCCGCCGCGGGAAAACGAAGGGGGCUAGCGUUGUUCGGAUUUACUGGGCGUAAAGGGCGCGUAGGCGGACUGAUAAGUCAGGGGUGAAAUCCCAAGGCUCAACCUUGGAACUGCCUUUGAUACUGUUUGUCUUGAGUUCGAGAGAGGUAAGUGGAACUGCGAGUGUAGAGGUGAAAUUCGUAGAUAUUCGCAAGAACACCAGUGGCGAAGGCGGCUUACUGGCUCGAUACUGACGCUGAGGCGCGAAAGCGUGGGGAGCAAACAGGAUUAGAUACCCCGGUAGUCCCUGUCUCUUAUAC
rnacentral:rRNA from 1 species